rnacentral:rRNA from 1 species
GCGACGCCGCGUGAGUGAGGAAGGCCUUCGGGUCGUAAAGCUCUGUCAGAAGGGAAGAAGUGUUAUACGGUUAAUACCCGUAUAAUUUGACGGUACCUUCAGAGGAAGCACCGGCUAACUCCGUGCCAGCAGCCGCGGUAAUACGGAGGGUGCGAGCGUUGUUCGGAAUUACUGGGCGUAAAGGGCGCGUAGGCGGCUUUAUAAGUCAGAUGUGAAAGCCCACGGCUUAACUGUGGAAGUGCAUUUGAAACUGUGAAGCUUGAGUAUCGGAGGGGAGUGUGGAAUUCCCGGUGUAGAGGUGAAAUUCGUAGAGAUCGGGAGGAACACCGGUGGCGAAGGCGACACUCUGGACGAAUACUGACGCUGAGGCGCGAAAGCGUGGGGAGCAAACAGGAUUAGAUACCCUGGUAGUCCACGCCGUAAACGAUGUGAACUAGAGGUAGGUGGUGUUGAUCCCAUCUGUCUCGCAGCUAACGCAUUAAGUUCACCGCCUGGGGAGUACGGUCGCAAGAUUA